AGCAAUGAAGUUUCCAGACUGGAGUAAUGGAAACAUCAGUGCUAUGACAUUUCUGGAAAACCCAUUCUCUUAGCUCCGCAAGGAAAGCUAGAUUUGGGCUUUGGAUUGUUGGAGCAUAAAGAGCCUCACUCACCACAGCUGCAUCAGCAGGAAAAUCCACCAGACAUUUUAGGCUAGUGACUACACUGAUGUGAAUAUAAACCUGCCACGAAUGUAGCAGUGAAAGUUUUUGUGUCCUGGGAAAAAUCUUGGAGUUUGGAGAAAGCAUCUCAAUUACCUUGCAGGGACCAACGCAAAGCACUGAUGGCACCGCGGAGGGAGUUAUUGGAAGAACAGCAGAGGAUAAAGUGAUCCUGCAUAUGGAACCUGAGCAUUACAAAAUCACCUGCUAUCUUCCUAGAUCUUGGAGCUCAUUCCAUAAGUGACUUGCAUUUCAACAAGAUUCUUCAAAAGUGACAAGAAAACACAGGAAACCAAUACCAUUUUGAGUCGUUUUCUCAUGAAACAGAUUGGCAAACGUUCCUUCGUAAAAUCACCCAGCACGUCAUCUGGCAUUCUUGAGCUGUAUGUAUGGAAAACUCAAGGAG